rnacentral:tRNA from 2 species
GGGCCCGUAGCUUAGCCAGGUAGAGCGACGGGCUCUUAACCAUGUAAGAAAAGCGGAGAUACCCGUAGUCCCGGGUUCGAAUCCCGGCGGGCCCG